AAUAACCAAAUAUAACGCUUGGGCUAAGGGUCAAGUUGAUAAUUUUUCUUACAUCUCCGCCCCCGGGGGCCCAGGUAUCAUAUACGCCCCCAAAAUAAAGAGCCUUAAAUACGAGAAGAAAAGCACCUAUACCUAACAAAAUUAAGUGAAUACCCAAAAUUGUAGUCAUUUGAUUUCUAUCUUUCCA
rnacentral:antisense_RNA from 13 species